rnacentral:lncRNA from 1 species
GUCUUGCAGUACUAUGUAGAACAAUCAAAGUCAUGAUGAGUCCAUCAAGAUGUAGGACUGACUUCAUGAAUCAGCAAGUGAGGUUCUCUAGUAUCUUAAAUAUUCAUUCAGUUGCGCAUAUACUCUUCUGGGAUUAGGGAGAAGAAAGAAGAGAAAGGAGAGAGCGUGUGUGUCGAAAGGUAAACAAUAGAAAGGAAUGAAAUGCUCAUCAUUUUGAGUCAAAUCAAAGAGUUUGUUUUCUUUUCUAAUAAUCUAGAUACUUCUGUUUUCCUUUCUUUAUGGCCACUGUGUUAGUGCUUCAUUUUUGCGCAUCUUGCAUAUGUAUUACUUAUUUAUUUUAAAUUGUGAAUGAAACAAUCAAGUGAAGAUUAAGUUUGUUUGCUAAUAUUAUGUUACUCAGAUGCUUUUUUUCCCCUUGUUUUAAUUUUGUAGAGACAUACAUAAAUAGUGGAUUAUCCUAAAAGAGACUGCAAUGGAAUUUUGCCCGACUUGUAGGAUGUUAUUGCAGUAUGAAUUGCCGCAUAUGGACCUCCCUGCCAGAUUCUUUGUCCAACAUGCCCGUAUGUAUGUCACAUAGAUAGUAAGGUAAGUCAUUAUAAAUCCUUUUUGAGGGUUUAUUUACUGGCUAUUCACAAUGUCCAUUGUGUCAUUGCUGAGUUAUCAACGCAUGUGGCAGGUUAAAAUAAAAAGAAAGCAUUGGUUAGUUAAGAAAGAACUAGAUCCUAUCACGUAUUAAGAUGUUUAUUUUUCCUGUUGUGUUUCAGCACCAUUGAACCUUGGAAGUGAUCUAGAAGUGGAAAAAAGGAGGGCUGAUUGAGUACCUUGCCACUUGCCGUGGCCUGGGGAAUUUGUAGGUGCAGGCCAACUAGAUUUGUUCAAAACUCGGGUCACUAAGUUUUUUCCUGUAAAACGUUCACAUGAACAUUGGUGACGUGUUGUACAGAUGUUUCCUUUUGUAUCCAUGAUUUACUACCUGGGCAACUGAUAUUUUUGGGACCAUUUUCCAUUUGGAGAUGUGAUUUUCGUUUUUGUUGAGCAAUAUUUUAUAUUUUGGCUUAUAGUUGCCUCUGUAUGUAUUAAAUUGUUCCAGAUUUUUUAUCCA